CCUGUGAGGGUUGCUGGAGGUAUCAGAAGUGCGAAUGCUGACAUAAGUAACGAUAAAGCGGGUGAAAAGCCCGCUCGCCGGAAGACCAAGGGUUCCUGUCCAACGUUAAUCGGGGCAGGGUGAGUCGACCCCUAAGGCGAGGCCGAAAGGCGUAGUCGAUGGGAAACAGGUUAAUAUUCCUGUACUUGGUGUUACUGCGAAGGGGGGACGGAGAAGGCUAUGUUAGCCGGGCGACGGUUGUCCCGGUUUAAGCAUGUAGGCUGGUUAUCCAGGCAAAUCCGGAUAAUCAAGGCUGAGGUGUGAUGACGAGGCACUACGGUGCUGAAGUAACAAAUGCCCUGCUUCCAGGAAAAGCCUCUAAGCAUCAGGUAACAUCAAAUCGUACCCCAAACCGACACAGGUGGUCAGGUAGAGAAUACCAAGGCGCUUGAGAGAACUCGGGUGAAGGAACUAGGCAAAAUGGUGCCGUAACUUCGGGAGAAGGCACGCUGGUGUGUAGGUGAAGUCCCUGCGGAUGGAGCUGAGACCAGUCGAAGAUACCAGCUGGCUGCAACUGUUUAUUAAAAACACAGCACUGUGCAAACACGAAAGUGGACGUAUACGGUGUGACGCCUGCCCGGUGCCGGAAGGUUAAUUGAUGGGGUUAUCCGUAAGGAGAAGCUCUUGAUCGAAGCCCCGGUAAACGGCGGCCGUAACUAUAACGGUCCUAAGGUAGCGAAAUUCCUUGUCGGGUAAGUUCCGACCUGCACGAAUGGCGUAAUGAUGGCCAGGCUGUCUCCACCCGAGACUCAGUGAAAUUGAACUCGCUGUGAAGAUGCAGUGUACCCGCGGCAAGACGGAAAGACCCCGUGAACCUUUACUAUAGCUUGACACUGAACAUUGAGCCUUGAUGUGUAGGAUAGGUGGGAGGCUUUGAAGCGUGGACGCCAGUCUGCGUGGAGCCAACCUUGAAAUACCACCCUUUAAUGUUUGAUGUUCUAACGUUGGCCCCUUACCGGGGUUGCGGACAGUGUCUGGUGGGUAGUUUGACUGGGGCGGUCUCCUCCCAAAGCGUAACGGAGGAGCACGAAGGUUAGCUAAUCCUGGUCGGACAUCAGGAGGUUAGUGCAAUGGCAUAAGCUAGCUUGACUGCGAGCGUGACGGCGCGAGCAGGUGCGAAAGCAGGUCAUAGUGAUCCGGUGGUUCUGAAUGGAAGGGCCAUCGCUCAACGGAUAAAAGGUACUCCGGGGAUAACAGGCUGAUACCGCCCAAGAGUUCAUAUCGACGGCGGUGUUUGGCACCUCGAUGUCGGCUCAUCACAUCCUGGGGCUGAAGUAGGUCCCAAGGGUAUGGCUGUUCGCCAUUUAAAGUGGUACGCGAGCUGGGUUUAGAACGUCGUGAGACAGUUCGGUCCCUAUCUGCCGUGGGCGCUGGAGAAUUGAGGGGGGCUGCUCCUAGUACGAGAGGACCGGAGUGGACGCAUCACUGGUGUUCGGGUUGUCAUGCCAAUGGCACUGCCCGGUAGCUAAAUGCGGAAGAGAUAAGUGCUGAAAGCAUCUAAGCACGAAACUUGCCCCGAGAUGAGUUCUCCCUGAGACUUUAAGUCUCCUGAAGGAACGUUGAAGACGACGACGUUGAUAGGCCGGGUGUGUAAGCGCAGCGAUGCGUUGAGCUAACCGGUACUAAUGAACCGUGAGGCUUAACCUUACAACGCCGAAG
rnacentral:rRNA from 1 species